rnacentral:lncRNA from 1 species
UCAACCCAAGGAUUUACCUCUGUCUUCCCAGAACUGCACUGAGAUGACCAAAGCAACAGGAAGCUAAGAGCUCAUCCCGGCCUGGGCCGCUGAAACAAACAUGCUGCCCUGGGGGCUUAUCAAUGACAGAAACGCACGUCUCGCCGCUCCGGGGCUGGAAGCCCACCAGCAAGAGGGGAAGACACGAAGACUCGAAGCACGGCUGCGUGACGACAAGCCUGUUCUCCAGACCGCGUGUAACCUACAACGACCGACCGUAGAUACGUGUCUACCGAGUGUCUACUGUGUGCCAGGCGCUGUUCCAGAUGCUGAGGACACAGAGCUGAUUACACCAGACAAAAGCCUUUGUCCUCCAGGUGCCCACAGCUGGCUGCGCGCGCCCGGGAAGAGGGACCACAGGACAAGCGGACAAGCCAGCUCAGUUGCAGCAUUGUUGUGCAUAAUGCAGUCUAUUCAUCCAUCCAACCGACCGUUACUAAGCAGCCACGCUUUGCAGGGCGUCUGUGGGGCCCUCCUCUGCCCUGUAAGGCCUGCGAGGCCAGAGCCUGGCUCUUCCUGUCUCCUAGUUCACAGUCCAGCCCUGGGCAGGUGCAGAGCCCACCCACGAGAAAUGUCUGCUGACUCAAUGAAUCAGCACAAGAAAAUAUAAACGUGAGGUUCUGGAACCAGAUCCUUCUUUUUCCCCUGAAAUAGACGUAUCCUUUAAAUUUUUAUGACAAAAGUAACGUUCAUGAAAGAAACACUGAGACAAUUUAGAAGCAUCAACGGUGAAACUCCCCCUACCAUAACCCCACUGCUGAGAAUGAAUUCUGAUCCCUUCUCGAGCUAUUUUCAGAUUCCCAACCGUGUCCUCAGCAAAGUUUCCCUGGUUUCUCUGCCGCAGUGCCGAACUUGUUCACUUUACGUGCUUAUCAAACGUAGAAGUGCUUCAGUUUUUAUCUGAUUACUGUUCACCGACUGUAUCACCCACACCAAGGACAGAACCUUCACACGGAAGCUGAAGGCUAGAGAAGGAGCUUCCCUCCACACAGCUAACAGCCAAGUCUGCAGACUGAGAUACAGAGUUUUUCCAGGUGAGGAGUAAGGAAGAUACCCCUAGUUCUCCCCCAUUGUGUCCACCCUCCCAGCUUCCUCCCCCAAGUCUGCUCCUUGAAAGCUCUGGAUCUUUUGUGUCCUUGGCUUUUUAGACCUCUGGUCUGGAAGACCCGUUUUUGUAAGUAUCUCCUGAGUGUGGAUCAGACUUCCCGUGUGUGGCCGAGGGCUAGCGGGAGGACCAGUGCAAGCCUGGGGUACUUGCCCUGAAGCAUCCCCAUCUAAGCCUGGGGCCUCUGGGUCCCCGAGUGCCGGAGUUACUGGGAUUCCAUGAGACCCGAGGUACACGUUUGCUACAACGUGAGAGCAAAAGCAAUUAAAAAGGCAUUAGUGGUACUUUUCUGUCGACUUAUGUUCUUAAAACUAAUUAUUGGUUCAUUAAGACUCCCAGCCUUCAUCAAAGGUUUUGUCACAUGGAAACAGCGGACACGCCUGACUUGUAUGAAACAGAAGGCUCAGUAAAUGCAAACCAGGCCUCACAGUCAUAAGCUGCCUGAGGCUCUGGAGUCAUCAGGACAAACCCUUUUACUGUGAACUUGGGGUGAGCAAUGAAAACGUACAUGAUUCAUGCCGUGUUUAUCAGCUCUCCGUGCUGUGAAAACUAGCCAAAAGCUUUACCAUUUCAAAUUUGCAUAGAUCUUCCUCAUCACUUCCAGUUGUAGACCUCUGACUCUUCUAGAAAGGUGGGAUCAAAAAUUGUUGAUUAAUCACGGGCAUUAAUUUCCUUUCUCACCCGAGACCCGACCACAGUGACCGUGAACGACCCGUGCCAGGUACAAAUGCACAUCGACAAAGAUCCCGGGAGGAGAGCCGUCCGCAGACCAGGGGAGCAAGUCAAUCUCCGGAGGCAGGUGGACGUGGGGCGAUGGGGGAGGCAGUGUGGAGGACGCCGUCCCCGAGGUUACACGUGGAGAUAGAUGCAGCCCUCCGCAGCCCUGUGGGGAGCACUCAGGAAUUUCACACAGAAACAGAACUGAGAUACAGAGCUGAAAGCAGAGUGGUUGAGUCGAUUACGCACAGAAUAUGUGACCCCACCGUCAGACCGGAGCUGAGCAGCCGGCUCCAUCUAUCCAGGUCAAACAUCGGACAGUCGAUCUCGAGGAAGAUCCAGAGCCUACGUAUUACUUACCUACUGCUGCACAAGUGACCCCAAAGCUGAGCCACUCACGACAACACACGUGUUAUCUCUCAGCUUCUACAGGUCAGGAAUCCCAGAGUAGCUUAGCUGGGUGGUUCCGCUCGCGUCUGUCCUCAGGGUGCAGUGAAGACGUGGCCCAGAGCUGCGCCAUCUGAAGGCUUGCCUGGGGCCGGACGGUCUGCGUCCAGGAUGGCUCCCUCAGCACCUGGACUCUCUGACGGCUGCCGGAGUGUCUCCACGACACGGCAGCUGACCUCCCCCAGCAGCGAGAGCAGGAGGAAACCUCAGUGCCUCUUGGUCCUAAUAGUGGGAGUCGCACACGGUCACGUUUGUCACAUUCUACUCGUGAGAAUAAAGUCACGAAGCCCAGUGCUUACUCAAGGGAAGUGGAAUUAAGUUCCACGUCUCGCAAGAUGGCAUGCCCCCAAAUCUGUACCUAAACCAAAGCCACCCCAUCCCAGAAAACAGACCUCCUCAUCUGGGACUCAGGGGUCCCCCUGCCCUAAAGACAACUCCUUGUGACCAGUUUAAAGCCAAUUCCACGAUUGAACAGGCCCCCUCAUACUCAUGGAGCACCUAUGCACCUGUGUGUGGCUUAUUCUAAAUACAAAUACAAAUUAUCUAAAUGUAAUUGUCGACUAGAACACCAGGUACUUAAGGGGGGGAAGACCCCUGUAACCUAAAAGAGAAGGAAUCAAACUAUGGAAGAAAAAAGCUGACCCCUAAGGGAUUAAAAAUGAUUCUAAAAACAGGAGAUGAAAAACCACCACCCACAACCCUAAUUAAUAUCUUCAGGGAGAAACCAGAACACAUUGCAUCUAUUAUAAAAUAAAGUGACUCUACAAAAUUUAAACGCUCAGAGAACAUGAAGGAACUCCUAGAGAUUAAAAAUAUAUGGCCAAAAGUAUUUUUAAAACGUAAAAAGACUGCCUUAAAAAAGUCAAAUCCAAUAGCCCAAAAAUAUAACAAAAAGAGACGGAGUAGAUGAGAGGGAGGAAAAAUAAAAAAAAAAGGAGAGGCC